GUUUAACGUGCGCAGCUACACAUGCAGUCGAGCGGUAGCACAAAGAGCUUGCUCUCGGGUGGCGAGCGGCGGACGGGUGAGUAAUGUCUGGGAAACUGCCUGAUGGAGGGGGAUAACUACUGGAAACGGUAGCUAAUACCGCAUAAUGUCUCAGGACCAAAGGGGGGGACCUUCGGGCCUCGUGCCAUCUGAUGUGCCCAGAUGGGAUUAGCUAGUAGGUGGGGUAACGGCUCACCUAGGCUACCAUCCCUAACUGGUCUGAGAGGAUGACCAGCCACACUGGAACUGACACACGGUCCAGACUCCUACGGGAGGCAGCAGUGGGGAAUAUUGCACAAUGGGCGCAAGCCUGAUGCACCAUGCCGCGUGUGUGAAGAAGGCCUUCGGGUUGUAAAGCACUUUCAGCGGGGAGGAAGGCGAUGAGGUUAAUAACCUCGUCGAUUGACGUUACCCGCCGGUAAUACCGGCUAACUCCGUGCCAGCAGCCGCGGUAAUACGGAGGGUGCAAGCGUUAAUCGGAAUUACUGGGCGUAAAGCGCACGCAGGCGGUCUGUCAAGUCUGAUGUGAAAUCCCUGGGCUCAACCUGGGAACUGCAUUCGAAACUGGCAGGCUAUGGCUUGUAUAAGGGGGUAGAAUUCCAGGUGUAGCGGUGAAUUGCCGAGAAAUCUCGCA
rnacentral:rRNA from 1 species